rnacentral:lncRNA from 1 species
GUGUGCGAAUGGUGUGCGAAACUCGCACACCCCCCUCAGGUGUGCGAAAAUUCGCACACCCCAUGCGUGGUGCGAAUUUUCCUCUGUUUUUGCCAACUCCACUUUAGAUAUUUUCUUUUGUAUUUUUUGAUGUAAUUUCCUUUCUUCUCCUUGUAACAAGCCAAUCACAAGCUUUGCUUUUGUAAAAACUAUAUAAGGGGUGGAAAUCACCUCUU